rnacentral:rRNA from 1 species
GCUUGUCUCAAAGAUUAAGCCAUGCAUGUCUAAGUAUAAACGAUUCUAUACUGUGAAACUGCGAAUGGCUCAUUAUAUCAGUUAUAGUUUAUUUGAUAGUGUUUUACUACUUGGAUAACCGUAGUAAUUCUAGAGCUAAUACAUGCUACAAAACCUGACUGCUUGUCGGAAGGGUUGUAUUUAUUAGAUGGAAACCAAUGCGGGGCAACCCGGAAUAUGGUGAUUCAUAAUAACUUUCGGAUCGUUUACGAUGCAUCAUUCAAGUUUCUGCCCUAUCAGCUUUGGAUGGUAGGGUAUUGGCCUACCAUGGCUUUAACGGGUAACGGAGAAUUAGGGUUCGAUUCCGGAGAGGGAGCCUGAGAAAUGGCUACCACAUCCAAGGAAGGCAGCAGG